rnacentral:rRNA from 1 species
GUGCCAGCCGCCGCGGUAACACGUAGGGGGCGAGCGUUGUCCGGAUUUAUUGGGCGUAAAGAGCUCGUAGGCGGCUUGGUAAGUCAGGUGUGAAAACUCCGAGCUCAACUCGGAGACGCCAUCUGAUACUGCCAUGGCUAGAGUCCGGUAGGGGAGUGCGGAAUUCCUGGUGUAGCGGUGAAAUGCACAGAUAUCAGGAGGAACACCGAUGGCGAAGGCAGCACUCUGGGCCGGUACUGACGCUGAGGAGCGAAAGCGUGGGUAGCAAACAGGAUUAGAUACCCGCGUAGUCC